UACGGGGGGGGCAAGCGUUGUUCGGAAUUACUGGGCGUAAAGGGCUCGUAGGCGGCCAACUAAGUCGGAUGUGAAAUCCCCAGGCUCAACCUGGGAACUGCAUCCGAUACUGGAUGGCUUGAAUUCGGGAGAGGGAUGCAGAAUUCCAGGUGUAGCGGUGAAAUGCGUAGAUAUCUGGAGGAAUACCGGUGGCGAAGGCGGCAUCCUGGACCGAGAUUGACGCUGAUGAGCGAAAGCUAGGGGAGCAAACGGG
rnacentral:rRNA from 1 species